CUCCUUCUGGUGUUUUGUGGUGAGCCCAACUAAAGUGAAAGAACAAACUGCAAAACAUGAGGAAGAGGAGAUGGAGAAGACUACAACUAUGUAAGGAGAUGCCAGCCCUGGGGUAUAUUGUAAAGGCUAAUCAGCC